rnacentral:misc_RNA from 1 species
AUUGAGUAUUCCUUUAUUUCUCUUUUCUACUUUAUUCAUCUUAUUAAUAGGUUCAGAUCCUUUCGCCGCCGGCAGAAAACCCCACGUCGUCAAUUUCCGAUCACGUAAUCUCUUCCCGGAAUCAUUCGCUUGGGAUCCUAAAUCCCAACACUUCAUCGUCGGAAGCACUCGUCACCAGAAACUCAUCGCCGUUUCCGAUGCGGGCGUAGUCGAAUCUCUUAUCAUCGAUACUUCACUCCCUGAAAACUCCUCCUUCCUCGGUCUCGCCGUCGACCGCUACAACAACCGUCUCCUCGCCUGUAUCCACCGUCCUCCUUCCCCUGAAAACCCCACACCUUUCAAUGCCCUAGCUUCUUACGAUCUCCAAUCUAACCGCCGCCUUUUCCUCUCCUCUCUCCUCGAUGACGUCGCUCAGGACGACACCGCCGUCGCUAACGACGUCGCCGUAGAUUUCCACGGCAACGCUUACGUCACCAAUUCCGGCGGCGAUUUCAUCUGGAAAAUCACUCUAAACGGUGACGUUUCGAUCUUAUCAAAAUCAAAAGCGUUCAAAUCUCAUCCACUCGAUACGACGACGAAUUACCACAAAUCUGGUUUAAACGGCAUCGUUUUCAGUCCGAGAGGAUAUUUACUCGUGGUCCAAUCAAAUACCGGGAAAUUGUUCAAAGUCAACGUUGACGACGGAGGAGCGAGAGCCGUUAUAUUAAACAGAGACUUAACGGGAGCUGACGGAAUUACCAUAAGACAAGACGGCGUCGUCUUGGUGGUGAGUCAAGAGAAGUUAUAUUUUGUAAAUAGCAAUGAUGGAUGGGGAGAAGGAGGAGUAUAUGACGAAACUACCCUUGAGAGAGAAAGGUUUGCUACAGCAGUGACAGUAGGAGAUGAGAGGAGGGUAUAUGUGUUAUAUGGACAUGUAAAGGAGGGUAUAAAUGGAAAUGAACAAAGAGAUGAAUUUGGUAUAGCUGAAGUGGAAUCUGAAAAAGAAAGUGAAGAAGAACCUAUUUGGUUAUAUAUAUUAAUUGGUAUUGGAUUGUUUAUAUUUUUUAUUUGGAGAUUUCAAAUGCAUAAGUUAGUGGAAAGUUUGAACAAAAAAAUAGUUUGAUUUUUGAUUUUUUUGGUUAGUUUGUAGUGAGAAUUAUAAGUAGUAUAAGUUUGUUUUGUUCCACAAUAAUAUAUAAAAAAAAGAGCUUAUGGUUGUUUCCUUUG